UCCUCCUUAGCUCAGUUGGUUAGAGCAUCUGACUGUUAAUCAGAGGGUCUCAGGUUCAAGUCCUGAAGGAGGAG
rnacentral:tRNA from 2 species